rnacentral:snoRNA from 10 species
GGGGCAAUAUGGAGAUGUUAUAUUGUCUUCGACAGGGAAGAUGACAUAAAAAUUAUGUUCAAUAGGAUUAUGUGGAGACUU